GAUGAGGAACGUAGCGAAAUGCGAUAAGUAAUAUGAAUUGCAGAUUUUCGUGAAUCAUCGAAUCUUUGAACGCACAUUGCGCCCUUUGGUAUUCCAAAGGGCAUGCCUGUUUGAGCGUCAUUUCUCUCUCAAAUCUUCGGAUUUGGUUUUGAGUGAUACUCUUAGUCAGACUAGGCGUUUGCUUGAAAUGUAUUGGCAUGAGUGGUACUAGAUAGUGCUAAACUGUUUCAAUGUAUUAGGUUUAUCCAACUCGUUGACCAGUGAAGUAUUUGUUUAUUACACAGGCUCGGCCUUACAACAACAAACAAAGUUUGACCUCAAAUCAGGUAGGACUACCCGCUGAACUUAAGCAUAUCAAUAAGCGGAGGA
rnacentral:misc_RNA from 1 species